rnacentral:rRNA from 1 species
GGUCAAAGGAAAUACAGAUUACGGUGGAUACCUAGGCAUCUAGAGUCGAAGAAGGGCGUCGAAACCAACGAAAAGCUUCGGGGAAGCUGUAAACAAGCAAAGCUGGAAACAAGCUAUGAUCCGGAGAUUCCCGAAUGGGGCAACCCCAAGUACUCACCCUUGAAUUCAUAGAGGGCUGAGAGGAAACCUGGUGAAUUGAAACAUCUUAGUAACCAGAGGAAAAGAAAGCAAACGCGAUUCCCUUAGUAGCGGCGAGCGAAACGGGAACAGCCUAAAUCUUCCCCGCAAGGAGAAGAGGUAGUGGGAGGAACGCCGUAAAAAUUGAAUUCUAGACGAAGCAGCUGAAUCCUGUACCAAAGAUGGUGAAAGUCCCGUAGUCGAAAGAUUUCAAUUUUUUAGUUCUUAUCCCGAGUAGCCUGGGACACGUGAAAUCCCGGGUGAAUCAGCGAGGACCACCUCGUAAGGCUAAAUACUCCUAGAUGACCGAUAGCGAACAAGUACCGCGAGGGAAAGGUGAAAUAGAACCCCUGAAGGGGAGUGAAAU